UACCAGCACCCCGAGUGUUCGGGACGAUUAUUGGGCCUAAAGCAUCCGUAGCCGGUCAUGCAAGUCUUCCGUUAAAUCCAGCCGCUCAACGGUUGGGCUGCGGAGGAUACUACGUGGCUAGGAGGCGGGAGAGGCAAGCGGUACUCAGUGGGUAGGGGUAAAAUCCUUUGAUCCAUUGAAGACCACCAGUGGCGAAGGCGGCUUGCCAGAACGCGAUCGACGGUGAGGGAUGAAAGCUGGGGGAGCAAACCGG
rnacentral:rRNA from 1 species